UUUUCUGCACAACAAAAAUAAAAACAAAAAUAAAAACGAGGGUGCCUUUUAUAGCCUUUGGGCAAUAAAACGGUUAAACAUAUUCAUAUACGAAUGAUGACUUAUGAACAAAAAUUAUACAAAAACUUAUAGCUAUACUUACACUGUAAAAGCAGGACAUCACAGCAACAAACAAAUUACAUUUUGCACUAAAAGUCAUACAAGUAAUGUAAAGAGAAUGUUGAGUACAAAGCAAGCAAAGACAGGCAAUAGAAAAGGAGAUAAUAACAGAAGAAAAAUAUUUUUGUAGCAUGUUACAACCUAUUAUCCUCAGAUAUGUAAUUUAUCAUUAAUCUUAUUGGUUACAGUCACUGUUUCUAUUUAGGGAACCCUAAUGUGUUCCUGAUAUUAUCAGCACUGUAAAUUAACAUAUAUGUGUACUAACUGUCAGUAUGUGCACAAAGAUCUAAGCCAUGCUUAAAUAGAUCAUGUAUCACAGUAAUAAUUGAAUUCAAAAGGAAACAUUUUGCAUGGAGAAAACCUAAUAAUGAACCAGCACUUACAAUUAUUUUCAAAAUAGAUUCUGUAGGACUGCUGGGGCAAACUUCAAAUCUAGGAGCUAAUGCAAGGUUGUUUUUGUUUCUUGGCAACGAAUGCACACUCAAGAUGCAGUGAUAGUUAGCUAGAAAAAAUUGCAGGUGAUGAAUGAAUCACAUUUGGGAUCAGUUCUAUGAACAAGUAUAUCUAUAAGGAAUGGAUCCUCACUUUAACUUGGCUUGGAAGAAUCAGUAAUUGUUUUUUUCUGAGCACUUUUGAAAUUAAGGUUGCAAAUAGGAAACCCUUGUCUGGAUGUAAUAGCCAUUUUAAAUUGAUAAACUAUGGUUUAGUAUUCUCAUUAAUAAAGCAAGAUUGAACCAGUUUCUCUAUAAGGAGGUAACAUGAACCUGUGGUUCAAACAAUUACCUAAUGAAGCAUAGAAGGAAGGCCAUGACGAGAAGGAAUGUGUAGACAUACAAUCUUUCUUGGCCUUUAAAUUCAUGGUUUGAUAGUUUGAAGUAGUUGUAUAUGAACUGAAUCAACAUUUGUGAAUAUAUAUUUUUUAAAAACCCAAUAUCUAUAAGAGCCAGUAUGGUGUAGGGGUUUGAGUGUUGGAUUAGGAUACUGGGAGACUAGUUUGAAUCCCUGCUUGGCCAUGGAAAACCACUGGGUGCCCUUCAGCAAAUCACACUAUCUCAGUGGUUCUCAACCAGUGGCCUUCAACUCCCAGAAAUCCUAACAGCUGGUAAACUUGCUGAGAUUUUGGGGAAUUGUAGACCAAAACACCUGGGGACCCACAGGUUGAGAACCACUGCAUUAUCACAACCUCGGAGGAAGGUAAGGGCACCAAUAAAUUCUGCCAGGUAAGCCCUGUGAUAUGGGUUGUCAUAAGUAAGAAACAACUUUAGGGCACCAAACAAGUGUCUAUUUUUGGUUUGGUCACAUUGUCUAUACGGAUUUACAGUUAAAACCAUCAAAACAACUUACACGUGUAUUUUAAAAUGGUGACUUACAAAAUGAAUGACUAUCUUUGUUAAUAUAACAUCACUGAAAUAUUUUCCUUAAUGUUUAUUACUGUUACAUAUCUCCUUUUUGCUUUUUUAAAGGGCUAACAUAAAUUUAAUAAAACUUGAAACAUUAUGUAAAAAAUAAAAUCAAAACACAGCUUUGUAUGAAUGAAAUGACUAUCUGGAUGAGGUUCAUUUACAUUCACUUGGCACCUUUCAUCUUCACAGGAUUUCAAAGCAUUUUACAUGCCCUGCAGAAUACAAACUCAUUACCUUCAAGGUGCAGUUUCCUUAAGGAUUGUUGGCAACUGUUUUCAGCCAACAAAUCGUACAAUGUUUAGAAUGGAUUUGGAAAAAUGAAGAGAUGUUUAAAGUUUCAAAUCCUUCUAAAUAAACUUGGCACAGACUUAACCACUCAUCCCUUUUAAAAUAUUAAAAUAUGGUCAUUCAGUACCCAGGAGGUGAAGAGCCUCUGGGUGUUAAAGUGUUUUGCAGGAGCUUUAAUAUCCUCAGAGCAGAAAGGACCUUUUGAGAUGCACAUCCAGGAUACUGUUUGUCAAUGCUGUACCAAUACACUGGUUAAGACUGAGUCGAGGGAAAGAAUACCCCCUACUGAGCCACCAACACCACUUACUGACACAACUGAUGCUCUUUGAAGGCCACUCAUCCUAAGUAAUGAGCAGGUGAGAGACCCUGCUUAGCUUCUGACAAAUAACAACCUGGAGUACAAUAAGCAGAGCUACAGAAAAGAUACAGUCAAAUAAAAGGAUACAUUAGUUAUUAUAUAUAUAUUUACCAUGACACAGACUAAUAGGUAUUGAUGUAAGGUCCAAUCUAUAACACUGCACAAUGUUCCCUUUGUCCCAAUAAAUAGGACACAUGGAGCUUCCAACAGUGUACUCUUUACUACAGUGAUACCUUGAGAAGGUACACUACAGAUCUUUAAGGAGGGACCUGCAGUGUUGUGCACUUUAUGGGCUUCUCUACAUCUUGACACAUGACAUUUGUUUGCAAUGUAUUUCUUUGGGAUGUAAAUAGAUUACAAAACGUGCCUAUUACCCUGAUAUUUUACAGAAAAUCUGGACUUUUAGGUGUGUGUCUGUUCCUCCAGGUGACACUGAUGGGAGGAGUUAGUGGUGGGCAGAAUUGGUUGGUGGGAGGUGAUCAUUUCUGCGAGAUUAAUUUUAAAAACUUUUUUUAAAAGCUUUGUUUUUGCAGAUACUCACAUAUCAGUAUAUUAGCACCAGUGCACUUCUGUUUGGUAAAAACUAUGUUUAGUGGCAUGCAUGAAAGGGGAACAAAAGUUGAGAGUCUAUUGACAUGUGGAUGAAAAUAACGCAAAGGACUGGAAGUACAAAUUGUCCCCCACAAGCGAGGUGGAAUCAAGGCCUUCACAACUUCACAGUAAUUGUUAUUACUGUGUAUUCCAAUGCUGGUGACAUAUGCUUCUGUGCACAAUGAAAAAUCCUAUCUCAGAGUAACAUUAACGGAAAAGAACAGGAGGAAGAUUGAAUAUGUGUAAUUCAAUAUCUCUGUCGCCAAUCCAGGGGGAGAACUUUCCCAGUUUCUAUAUUGUGGAGUCCCACCAGGUAAAAUGAAUAAUGGAACAGAUGAAACAAACACAAAACAUUUGGAUUAGAUGCAGACCAUGACUGCAUUGCUAUGGGGUUCGGAAGAGUGAAAAAGACACUAUAACUUUGUUUAACAAAAGUAAGGAUUCAUACAUGUUCCUCAGAACUGGCAGGCAAUAAAUAUGAAACCUGAAACAGCAAUUCAACCAAAAUAGAGCAGUCAGCAAAAUGAAAUACAUUCAUUGCAUCACCUUAAAAAGUUUUAAAUGCUAAUGUCUCACAAUAGUUAUGCAGCCCUGGGGAUUGAGUAUGAGCUAAUAAACCAGGAGCAGCCCAGAACAUUGUGCAUUGCUCCUCUACAUCGUGCAGAAAAUAGUUAUCCUUCCAAGCCUAUUAAUUAAAAUCUCCAUUACCUCUCUGAACUACUUUCUUUGGCACCUUCUUGUAAUGUUCUAAUAUAUUUUAAAGAACACAUCGCUUCUCUUUGUCUUUCAAGUCAUCUAUUGAUAUGCUGAGAUAUUGGGUCAGACUGACAUUAGGAACAACUGCCUUGGAAUGACUUAUUUUAGAUUAGGUCUAUUAAAUUAAACACAUCCUUGGGGUGGGGUGGAGUCGCGGCAUGAUUGGAAUCAAUACAUUAUUAGUACAUGUGGUAUGCAGCUAAACUAGCAAAUUCCUUUUUCAGAAACUGAUCAAAUAAAAAGUAUAAACAUCUAA